rnacentral:rRNA from 1 species
UGGCGGACGGGUGAGUAACACGUGAGCAACCUGGCUCUAAGAGGGGGACAACAGUUGGAAACGACUGCUAAUACCGCAUAACGUAUCGGGAUGGCAUCUUCCUGGUACCAAAGAUUUUAUCGCUUAGAGAUGGGCUCGCGUCUGAUUAGAUAGUUGGCGGGGUAACGGCCCACCAAGUCGACGAUCAGUAGCCGGACUGAGAGGUUGAACGGCCACAUUGGGACUGAGACACGGCCCAGACUCCUACGGGAGGCAGCAUG